rnacentral:ncRNA from 1 species
UUAAAGUUUUAUUCUUGCUUUGUAAUUCACUUUUUGCUUAUUUUAUAUGUGAAUUUUUGUUAUUGGUUAUAUCUAUAUGAUUUUUUGCAGUAUUAGAUAUUAAAUAUUAAGGGUACUUAGAUUUGGUUAUUUAUUUAUUAAUUGGUUAAAUUUGUGCCAGCAUCCGCGGUUAUACAAAGAAUUAUUGUGAAUAUUUUUGGUUAAUAGUUAAUUUUUUUCUUGAAUUUGUUUUUAUUAUUUUAGGGUGAAAUCUUAAUUUUUGUUGUUUUUUAAAAUAAUGAAUCUAUGAAAUCCUUAUUAUAAACUAGGAUUAGAUACCCUAUUAUUAUGGAUGUUAAUCUUGUUAACCUGAGUAGUAAUAGUUAAGGUCUUGAAACUUAAAGAAUUUGGCGGUAUUAUAGUCUUUUUAGAGGAAUCUGUCCUUUAAUCGAUAGUCCACGUUGAACCUUACUAAUUUAUUGUUUGUAUAUCGCCGUUAAUCUGAAUAUCUUUUUAGAGUUUAUUUUCUGUAUUUUUCUUUAAACAUUAUUUCAGGUCAAGGUGCAGCUUAUUGAUUAGUAGAGAUGGAUUACAUUUUUUUUUGUUAUUGGUUUAUUUGAUGUAAUAUUUCUUAUAUUAAAAUGGAUUUAAUAGUAAUUUUGUAAAGAUUAUCAAUUUGAUUUUAGCUCUAUAAUAUGUACACAUCGCCCGUCGCUCUCGUUAUUAAUUGAGAUAAGUCGUAACAUAGUGGUCUUACCGGAAGGUGUGGCUGGAAUGUC